CCUACGGGAGGCAGCAGUGAGGAAUAUUGGUCAAUGGUCGGGAGACUGAACCAGCCAAGCCGCGUGAGGGAUGAAGGUACAGAGUAUCGUAAACCUCUUUUGUCAGGGAACAAAGGCGGGGACGCGUCCCCGGAUGAGUGUACCUGAAGAAAAAGCAUCGGCUAACUCCGUGCCAGCAGCCGCGGUAAUACGGAGGAUGCGAGCGUUAUCCGGAUUUCUUGGGUUUAAAGGGUGCGCAGGCGGUCUGUUAAGUCAGCGGUGAAAGCACCGGGCCCAACCCCGGGCCGGCCGUUGAACUGGGCAGGCUCGAGUUGGAGAGAAGUAUGCGGAAUGCGAGGUGGAGCGGUGAAAUGCAUAGAGAUCGCGCAGAACUCCGAUUGCGAAGGCAGCAUGCCGGCUCCACACUGACGCUGAGGCACGAAAGCGUGGGUAUCGAACAGGAUUAGAUACCCGAGUAGUC
rnacentral:rRNA from 1 species